rnacentral:rRNA from 1 species
GCGGGUUGUUAAGUGAGGGGUGAAAUCCUAGAGCUCAACUCUGGAACUGCAUUUCAUACUGGCAAGCUAGAGUCCGGAAGAGGUAAGUGGAACUCCUAGUGUAGAGGUGGAAUUCGUAGAUAUUAGGAAGAACACCAGUGGCGAAGGCGGCUUACUGGUCCGGAACUGACGCUGAGGUGCGAAAGCGUGGGGAGCAA